UAGCGUAGGGUGCAGGCGUUUAAUCGGAAUUACUGGGCGUAAAGGGCUCGUAGGCGGCCAACUAAGUCAGACGUGAAAUCCCUCGGCUUAACCGGGGAACUGCGUCUGAUACUGGAUGGCUUGAGUUUGGGAGAGGGAUGCGGAAUUCCAGGUGUAGCGGUAGAAAUGCGUAGAUAUCUGGAGGAACACCGAUUGCGAAGGCAGCUUGCUACACGAUCAUUGACACUGAGGCACGAAAGCGUGGGGAUCAAACAGG
rnacentral:rRNA from 1 species